UACAGAGAGUGCAAACGUUGUUCGGAAUCACUGGGCUUAAAGCGCACGUAGGCGGCACCGUAAGUGUCGGGUGAAAUCCCACGGCUCACCCGUGGAACUGCCCGGCAGACUGUGGUGCUCGAGUGUGGUAGGGGAGAGCGGAACUCCUGGUGGAGCGGUGAAAUGCGUAGAUAUCUGGAGGAACACCGGUGGCGAAGGCGGCAUCCUGGACCGGCAUUGACGCUGAACAGCGAAAGCCAGGGGAGCAAACGGG
rnacentral:rRNA from 1 species